UGUUGCAGGUCACAUAUUCAGACCAGAAGGACGCCACAUCAGUGACAAAACAUUAGAGGAACAGCUGACCAUUAAAUGUAACAGGGUUACCCUAUAAAGUACUUUAAUAAAUGAUAAUUGCAUUUACCAAAACAUUGUUUCAUUUGAUUACUUCGAAAUGAAGAUAUUGCUAAUUACUCAACAUUAAGGGAAUUUAUGCUUAAUG